ACUGCCGGAAAAGGUCCCGCAGAGCUCAGCAGCCAAGAUGUGUGACUUCACCGAGGACCAGACCUCAGAAUUCAAGGAGGCUUUCCAGCUGUUUGACCGAACAGGUGAUGGCAAGAUCUUGUACAACCAGUGUGGGGAUAUGAUGCGGACCCCGAGGUGCUCAAGGUCCUGGGGAACCCCAAGAGUGAUGAGAUGAAUGUGAAGGUGCUGGACUUUGAGUACUUCCUGUCCAUGCUGCAGACCGUGGCCAAGAACAAGGACCAGGGAACCUACAAAGAUUAUGUUGAAGGCCUUCGUGUGUUUGACAAGGAAGGAAAUGGCACUGUCAUGGGUGCUGAAAUCCGUCAUGUCCUAGUCACACUGGGCGAGAAGAUGACAGAGGAAGAAGUAGAGAUGCUAGUGGCGGGGCAUGAGGACAGCAAUGGUUGCAUCAACUAUGAAGAGCUUGUCCGGAUGGUGCUCAAUGGCUGAGGACACUCUGUA